rnacentral:misc_RNA from 1 species
GCAAACUUGGUCAUUUAGAGGAAGUAAAAGUCGUAACAAGGUUUCCGUAGGUGAACCUGCGGAAGGAUCAUUAUCGAGUUUUGAAACGGGUUGUAGCUGUCCUUCGCAAGAAGGUACGUGCACGCCUUGCUCAUCCACUCUCAAACCCCUGUGCACUUUUUGUAGGCUUGGUGGGAUAGGCUGACUUCGGUCGGCUUUGAAAGCCUCGCCUAUGUAUUAAAACAAACGCUUCAGUUUAGAAUGUAACCUUGCAUAAUAAGCAAAUAAAUACAACUUUCAGCAACGGAUCUCUUGGCUCUCGCAUCGAUGAAGAACGCAGC